CCCUUAGAUGUCCUGGGCCGCACGCGCGCUACACUGAGUGUCUGAGAUACGAGUCUGCCCGGUCCGGCAAGGUCUAGGUAAUCGCUAAAAGACACAUCAUGCUUGGGAUAGAUUAUUGCAAAUAUUAAUCUUGAACGAGGAAUUCCUAGUAAGCGCAAGUCAACAGCUUGCGUUGAUUACGUCCCUGCCCUUUGUACACACCACCCGUCGCUACUACUGAUUGGAUGUUUAAGCGAGGUUCUCGAACUGCUAGCGACUUAGCUUCGGUGAGGUCGCAGUGUGGGAAGUGAACCUAGCUUUGGUGUCUAGAGGAAGUAAAAGUCGUAACA
rnacentral:rRNA from 1 species